rnacentral:rRNA from 1 species
AUCAACUUUCGAUGGUAGGAUAGAGGCCUACCAUGGUGGUAACGGGUAACGGGGUGUUAGGGCACGACACCGGAGAGGGAGCCUGAGAAACGGCUACCACAUCCAAGGAUGGCAGCAGGCGCGCAAAUUACCCAAUCCCGACACGGGGAGGUAGUGACAAUAAAUAACAAUACGGGGUUCUUUAGGAUCUCGUAAUUGGAAUGAGUACAAUUUAAAUCUCUUAACGAGGAACAAUUGGAGGGCAAGUCUGGUGCCAGCAGCCGCGGUAAUUCCAGCUCCAAUAGCGUAUAUUAAAGUUGUUGCAGUUAAAAAGCUCGUAGUUGAAUUUCGGGGUUAGUAGGUUGGUCAUGCCUCUGGUAUGUACUGAUCUUACUGAUUCCUCCCUCUUGACGAACUGUAAUGUCAUUAAUUUGGUGUUGCAGGAAAUCAGGACUGUUACUUUGAAAAAAUUAGAGUGUUUAAAGCAGGCUUAGGCUUGAAUACAUUAGCAUGGAAUAAUGAAAUAGGACGUUUGAACCUAUUUUGUUGGUUUCUAGGAUCGACGUAAUGAUUAAUAGGGAUAGUUGGGGGCAUUAGUAUUCAAUUGUCAGAGGUGAAAUUCUUGGAUUUAUUGAAGACUAACUACUGCGAAAGCAUUUGCCAAGGAUGUUUUCAUUAAUCAAGAACGAAAGUUAGGGGAUCGAAGACGAUCAGAUACCGUCGUAGUCUUAACCAUAAACUAUGCCGACUAGGGAUCGGAUGAUGUUAAUUUUUUAAUGACUCAUUCGGCGCCUUACGGGAAACCAAAGUGUUUGGGUUC